UACGAGGGGGGCGAGCGUUGUUCGGAAUUAUUGGGCGUAAAGGGUGCGUAGGCGGUUUGGUAAGUCUUAUGUGAAAUCUACAGGCUCAACUUGUAGUCUGCAUGAGAAACUGCCGGGCUUGAGUAUGGGAGAGGUGAGUGGAAUUCCUGGUGUAGCGGUGAAAUGCGUAGAUAUCAGGAGGAACACCUGUGGCUAAAUCGGCUCACUGGACCAAAACUGACGCUGAUGCACGAAAGCUAGGGGAGCAAACAGG
rnacentral:rRNA from 1 species